rnacentral:rRNA from 1 species
GACGAACGCUGGCGGCGUGCUUAACACAUGCAAGUCGAACGGAAAGGCCCAGCUUGCUGGGUACUCGCGUGGGGAACGGGUGAGUAACACGCGGGUGGUCUGCCCUGGACUCUGGGUUAAGCCUGUGCAACUGGGUCUAAUACCGGAUAUGACCUUACAUCGCAUGGUGUUUGGUGGAAAGCUUUUGCGGUUUAGGAUGGGUGCGCGGCCUAUCAGCUUGUUGGUGGGGUAAUGGUCUACCAAGGCCACGACGGGUAGCCGACCUGUGAGGGGGAUCGGCCACACGGGGACUGAGACACGGACCAGACGCCAACGGGCGGCAGCAGUGGAGAAUAUUGCACAAUGGGCGCAAGCCUGAUGCAGCGACGCCGCGUGAGGGAUGACGGCCUUCGGGUUGUAAACCUCUUUCACCAGGGACGAAGCGUGAGUGACGGUACCUGGAGAAGAAGCACCGGCCAACUACGUG